GGAUGGUUUUGCCUGCAUCAUCACUGAAUAAUCUGGGUGAUUAACAGCAAGAACACAUCAAUGCUGUUCAUCUCCCAUCAUUAUAAUUAUUUGUCUAUCAAUCGCAACUGUCCAGGGACUGCAAUGAGAAAAGCAACUUAGCAUCAAUGAUUGAUGUUCACUUCUUCCGCUGCGUUUUUCUGACUCUCAAAAAUUUUCUGCCAGACUUUUCACCACCACCAGUGCCCAAUGAGAAGCUCCCUCCUGCAUUGAGCUCUAGACUACCAGAAGCCUGGAAUGGAGAUUGGUUCUGUGAUGCUGCCAGAUUCGACUGGCUUGCAAAUUGAAAAGGAUUUGCUCC
rnacentral:misc_RNA from 1 species